rnacentral:rRNA from 1 species
CCUGAGAGGGUGACCGGCCACACUGGGACUGAGACACGGCCCAGACUCCUACGGGAGGCAGCAGUGGGGAAUAUUGCACAAUGGGCGGAAGCCUGAUGCAGCAACGCCGCGUGAGGGAUGACGGCCUUCGGGUUGUAAACCUCUUUUAGCAGGGAAGAAGCGUAAGUGACGGUACCUGCAGAAAAAAGCGCCGGCUAACUACGUGCCAGCAGCCGCGGUAAUACGUAGGGCGCAAGCGUUAUCCGGGAAUUAUUGGGCGUAAAGAGCUCGUAGGCGGUUUGUCGCGUCUGCUGUGAAAACCCGAGGCUCAACCUCGGGCCUGCAGUGGGUACGGGCAGACUAGAGUGCGGUAGGGGAGAUUGGAAUUCCUGGUGUAGCGGUGGAAUGCGCAGAUAUCAGGAGGAACACCGAUGGCGAAGGCAGAUCUCUGGGCCGUUACUGACGCUGAGGAGCGAAAGGGUGGGGAGCAAACAGGCUUAGAUACCCUGGUAGUCCACCCCGUAAACGUUGGGAACUAGUUGUGGGGGCCUUUCCACGGUCUCCGUGACGCAGCUAACGCAUUAAGUUCCCCGCCUGGGGAGUACGGCCGCAAGGCUAAAACUCAAAGGAAUUGACGGGGACCCGCACAAGCGGCGGAGCAUGCGGAUUAAUUCGAUGCAACGCGAAGAACCUUACCAAGGCUUGACAUACACCGGAAACGUCUGGAAACAGUCGCCCCUUUUUGGUCGGUGUACAGGUGGUGCAUGGUUGUCGUCAGCUCGUGUCGUGAGAUGUUGGGUUAAGUCCCGCAACGAGCGCAACCCUCGUUCUAUGUUGCCAGCACGUUAUGGUGGGAACUCAUGGGAUACUGCCGGGGUCAACUCGGAGGAAGGUGGGGAUGACGUCAAAUCAUCAUGCCCCUUAUGUCUUGGGCUUCACGCAUGCUACAAUGGCCGGUACAAAGGUUUGCAAUACC